GACGAACGCUGGCGGCGUGCUUAACACAUGCCAGUCGACCGGAAAGGCCCUGCUUUUGUGGGGUGCUCGAGUGGCGAACGGGUGAGUAACACGUGAGUAACCUGCCCUUGACUUUGGGAUAACUUCAGGAAACUGGGGCUAAUACCGGAUAGGAGCUCCUGCUGCAUGGUGGGGGUUGGAAAGUUUCGGCGGUUGGGGAUGGACUCGCGGCUUAUCAGCUUGUUGGUGGGGUAGUGGCUUACCAAGGCUUUGACGGGUAGCCGGCCUGAGAGGGUGACCGGCCACAUUGGGACUGAGAUACGGCCCAGACUCCUACGGGAGGCAGCAGUGGGGAAUAUUGCACAAUGGGCGGAAGCCUGAUGCAGCAACGCCGCGUGCGGGAUGACGGCCUUCGGGUUGUAAACCGCUUUCGCCUGUGACGAAGCGUGAGUGACGGUAAUGGGUAAAGAAGCACCGGCUAACUACGUG
rnacentral:rRNA from 1 species